rnacentral:misc_RNA from 1 species
GAUGAAGAACGUAGCGAAAUGCGAUACGUAAUGUGAAUUGCAGAAUUCAGUGAAUCAUCGAAUCUUUGAACGCACAUUGCGCCCUCUGGUAUUCCGGGGGGCAUGCCUGUUCGAGCGUCAUUACAACCCUCAAGCUUUGCUUGGUAUUGGACAUUGCCAGUUUCUGGCAGGUCUUAAAAUCAGUGGCGGUGCCAUUUGGCUUCAAGCGUAGUAAUUCUUCUCGCUUUGGAGAUCCAAGUGGUUACUUGCCAAUAACCCCCAAUUUUUUCAGGUUGACCUCGGAUCAGGUAGGGAUACCCGCUGAACUUAAGCAUAUCAAUAAGCGGAGGA